AGCGCAUCUAUUAGAUUAAAACCAAUCGGGUUUCGGCCCGUCAGUUGGUGACUCUGAAUAACUAUUGCUGAUCGCAUGGUCUCGAACCGGCGACGUGUCUAUCAAGUGUCUGCCUUAUCAACUGUCGAUGGUAGUUUAUGUGCCUACCAUGGUUGUAACGGGUAACGGAGAAUAAGGGUUCGACUCCGGAGAGGGAGCCUGAGAAACGGCUACCACAUCCAAGGAAGGCAGCAGGCGCGCAAAUUACCCACUCUCGGCAUGAGGAGGUAGUGACGAAAAAUAACGAGACCGUUCUCUUUGAGGCCGGUUAUCGGAAUGGGUACAAUUUAAACCCGUUAACGAGGAUCUAUGAGAGGGCAAGUCUGGUGCCAGCAGCCGCGGUAAUUCCAGCUCUCAAAGUGUAUAUCGUCAUUGCUGCGGUUAAAAAGCUCGUAGUUGGAUCUGCGCCUCAGGACCUGGUCCGCCCACUGGGCGAGAACUGGGCUCCUGGGCUAGUUCGGCUGGUUUUCCCUACGUUGCCUUCAUCGGUCGCGUAGGGUGGCUAGCGAGUUUACUUUGAAAAAAUUAGAGUGCUUCACGCGGGCUUAUGUCUGAAUACUCGUGCAUGGAAUAAUAGAAUAGGAUCUCGGCUCUAUUUUGUUGGUUUUCUGAUCUGAGAUAAUGGUUAAGAGGGACGGACGGGGGCAUUCGUAUCGCUGCGUGAGAGGUGAAAUUCUUGGACCGUAGCGAGACGCCCGACUGCGAAAGCAUUUGCCAAGAAUGUCUUCAUUAAUCAAGAACGAAAGU
rnacentral:rRNA from 1 species